rnacentral:ncRNA from 2 species
UAUCUUUGUGGCUGUAGAGGUGGCCGGACCCCAAGUGCGGGGCGAGGCUGAAAAGGGAAUCCGGUUCAAUUCCGGAGCUGUCCCCGCAACUGUACGCUUCAUGAGUUGGCGCGCCUCAGCUGCCACUGUUUCAGAGAAGGUUUCGCAAGCAGCUUGCGGGCCGGAGAAAUGGGAAGGCGGCGCGCCCGGAGCAAGCCAGGAGACCUGCCUUUGCAAUUCCUAUGUU